UCCUACGGGGCGCAGCAGUGGGGAAUAUUGCACAAUGGGGGAAACCCUGAUGCAGCGACGCCGCGUGAAGGAAGAAGUAUUUCGGUAUGUAAACUUCUAUCAGCAGGGAAGAAAAUGACGGUACCUGACUAAGAAGCUCCGGCUAAAUACGUGCCAGCAGCCGCGGUAAUACGUAUGGAGCAAGCGUUAUCCGGACUUACUGGGUGUAAAGGGAGCGCAGACGGCAGGGCAAGUCUGAUGUGAAAGUCCGGGGCUCAACCCCGGGACUGCAUUGGAACCUGUCCGGCUAGAGUGCAGGCGAGGUA
rnacentral:rRNA from 1 species